rnacentral:rRNA from 1 species
CAGUCGCCGCGGUAAUACGUAGGGUGCGAGCGUUAAUCGGAAUUACUGGGCGUAAAGCGUGCGCAGGCGGUUCGUUAAGACAGAUGUGAAAUCCCCGGGCUUAACCUGGGAACUGCAUUUGUGACUGGCGAGCUAGAAUAUGGCAGAGGGGGGUAGAAUUCCACGUGUAGCAGUGAAAUGCGUAGAGAUGUGGAGGAAUACCGAUGGCGAAGGCAGCCCCCUGGGCCAAUACUGACGCUCAUGCACGAAAGCGUGGGGAGCAAACAGGAUUAGAUACCCCCGUAGUCCCUGUCUCUUAUAC